AGUACAAAUAUCAUAUCUACUCUGCACUUUCUGAGAGCACAUUCAGUGUUAUUUUACAGUAUCUCUAGAGAAGUGGAGUUGUGAUGUUUAUGACUUGAUUUAACACUAUCUCAAGGAAGUACAGCAGUACUGUUGGCUUUGCUCUGAGAAUAAUGGAACAUGAAGUGAAGGCUAACUAGAAGUAAGUGAAGAUCACUCCAGCCAGAAAAUCGUGAGUGAAGGCUGGCUGAUACAUGCAACAGAGGCGUUCUUCAGACAAAUUACGAAGAUUUCUCUAGCCCCACCUGUCACAGAAGAUAAAUAUUCAGAAGUUUUUCUGAAGAUUUACAAGUAAACAGAAGUUGUGAAAAUGGCAUUCACCAGUGCCUAUUUGCAAGCAGCUCAUCGAAGUGAAGAACUAGUUUCUCUGUCUACCAUACACCUCAUUCACUCUUGUUUAAAACAACCCAUAAUAGAAAGAAAAAACUGGAUGAAUCCGUGUUUCUUCUGUAAUGGUUUAGGUGAUGAAGGAAGUUGUCAAGUCAUAUCUUAGACCAAGGCAAAAAAGGCUGUGGGAGCUCGUGUGAGAAGCAAAUGCAUUUCUUGACAAGAAAAACUGUCAAGGAAGGAAGAGGUGAGGAACAUUGUCCUUCUCAUAUUGAAAUUAGGACAGCUAUCAUUGCACUGACCAAAUAUAUCCUGAAG
rnacentral:lncRNA from 1 species